AGAGUUUGAUCCUGGCUCAGAGCGAACGCUGGCGGCGUGCUUAACACAUGCAAGUCGAACGCGCAGCAUUCUGUAGCAAUACAGGGUGUGGGCGCGUGGCGAACGGGUGCGUAACACGUGGAUAACCUUCCUUGAGGUGGGGAAUAACCCAGUGAAAAUUGGGCUAAUACCGCAUAACAUCGCGAUGGCACAUGCUGAUGCGAUCAAAGGCGCAAGUCGCCGCAAGAGGGAUCCGCGGCCGAUUAGCUUGUUGGCGAGGUAAUGGCUCACCAAGGCAAUGAUCGGUAGCCGGACUGAGAGGUUGGCCGGCCACACUGGAACUGAGACACGGUCCAGACUCCUACGGGAGGCAGCAGUGGGGAAUCUUGCACAAUGGACGAAAGUCUGAUGCAGCAACGCCGCGUGGGGGAUGAAGCUUCUCGGAGUGUAAACCCCUUUCGACCCGGAAGAAUGCCCGCAAGGGUAUGACGGUACGGGUAUAAGAAGCCCCGGCUAACUACGUGCCAGCAGCCGCGGUAAUACGUAGGGGGCCAGCGUUGCUCGGAAUUACUGGGCGUAAAGGGUCCGUAGGCGGUGUAGCAAGUCGAUAGUGAAAUCUCUGGGCUUAACCCAGAGGCUGCUAACGAAACUGCUGUGCUAGAGUGUGAGAGAGGCGAGUGGAAUUACGGGUGUAGCGGUGAAAUGCGUAGAUAUCCGUAGGAACAUCCGAGGCGAAGGCGGCUCGCUGGAUCACAACUGACGCUGAGGGACGAAAGCUAGGGGAGCAAACAGGAUUAGAUACCCUAGUAGUCC
rnacentral:rRNA from 1 species